rnacentral:misc_RNA from 1 species
AUGGCCGCCGGUUGUUUGGCUUGCUAAAUUCACGUUUUUCAUUUACUUCCAAUAAUUCCGUGGUGUUUACUGCCAAUUUUGCGCUUUAAUUAGUUAAUUUAGUGUAUUUAGUGGUUGAACAAUGGCGGCGGUACAAGGACAACAGGGGAACAAGCCGUGGCCGGCGCGACCGGGACUGCAGCAUCAGAUGAGCCAAAGUAAUGCAAGUUUAACGUUGAAUAGGACGAUAAACCUGUACCCGCUGACGAACUACACGUUCGGCACGAAGGAGCCGCUGUUUGAGAAGGACGCGUCGGUGCCGGCGCGCUUCCAACGGAUGAGGGAAGAGUUCGCAAAGAUUGGGAUGAGAAGGUCAGUAGAAGGCGUGCUACUAGUCCACGAGCAUGGCCUCCCACACGUACUACUGCUGCAACUGGGGACAGCAUUCUUCAAGCUGCCGGGCGGAGAGCUGAACCCGGGAGAGGACGAGAUUGAUGGACUAAAGAGACUGCUCACCGAAACUCUCGGUAGACAGGAUGGUGUGAAGCAGGAGUGGGCUAUUGAGGAUACUAUAGGCAACUGGUGGCGACCGAACUUCGAGCCCCCGCAGUACCCGUACAUUCCGCCCCACAUCACCAAGCCGAAGGAGCACAAGCGGCUCUUUCUCGUCCAGCUGCAGGACCGAGCCCUGUUCGCUGUCCCCAAGAACUAUAAACUCGUAGCCGCCCCGCUGUUCGAGUUGUACGACAAUGCUCAGGGCUAUGGACCCAUCAUUUCAUCAUUGAGCCAAAGUCUGUGCCGGUUUAACUUUGUCUAUAUGUAAUUGUGAGGUUUCAACACAAUAAACUAUGAACUAUCUACAAAACAAAACUGUCUACAAAAAUACUCAAUUUAUCUUCAAUGGCGUGACAUGUUUGUUGAAGUGGUGAAAGGAUUGCGCGUGUUAUUCACAAAUUACCGGGUGAGAGCCCUCAGCGCUCCCCAUUUGUCCGGCCAAGU